rnacentral:misc_RNA from 1 species
GCCAAUGCUAGCUCCCACAUUAUAUUAUUCACUCCAGUUUGAACAUGCAUGAGAGUGUUAAAAGAAGUCUCACAUGAACAAUUGACAUCAUAGAUAUCCUUACAUGAGCUUGAUAAUUCUUACCCUAUUAGCCAAUUUUUGGGAUUGAAUUCAAUCUAUAAUCCAUUUCUUUACAAUGUCGAUCGGAACACCCCUCAAUCCACUUGAACAAACCCACUUCUUAUCGUCAUAUUCGGAUUCCAGGGCAAAUGUUCCUAAAGUACAACCUGAGCUACUGUCAAAUAGCAAAUUGUACCAUAAAAGGAGGUGUACUUAAACAAAUCCUACAACAUAACGCUAUGUCAGAAAUAUGUAACUGUUGUUAAAAAAUAACACUACUGCAUCAAAUUUUCGCCAUGACCUUCGUUUGUUUCCUCCGGUCUGAAUAUGUACACUACCAAACCGCAAGAAGGGAAAACGAGGAAAAAUUAGGGAGGAAAACAAGGGAAAGAAAGAUAAGAAAAGUAAAAAAAAAGUUUUUUUUCUUUUUUGGUUCUGCUUCACUGCCAACUUUCGUUAUCAUCCACAGAAAUGGGGAUGAUUCAAUUCACUUAACCAUUUUUGGUCCCUUGUACAAUGCUCCAACCAGUGUUAAGUCAUCAGGUUUCUCCCUCUCUUUCAGCCAUGCAUAGCCACCCUUCUGUUCCUCGGUCACAGAGAUACUUGAAAACGGGAAGUCAUAGUAGUAUUGACAGUGGCGACCUUCAGGAUCACAAUAGGGAGGGCCAAGCACAUCUAGCACGGCGCAGGCUGUUUUUGCUUUGAAACAAUGCAUAUUACCACCAUCAGCUGGAUAUAAGAUAGAGGUCUUGCAAGGAGCUCUAAACGCUGAAUUUAUCUUCACUUUUGCUAGACGAAUUCCAGUAGUAGAUUCCCCAAGUCCAUUAUCUAAAGGUUUAGCAACUGGAGUUGGAUCAGCAGGGAGGUCGUCCACCCAGUCAUAUGACUUAAUGUGCAUUUCUCCAAAAAGAAGCUUACUAAAAACAGUCAUUCCAGGAUGAUCAUGAAGUGGAAUGACAGCUGAUGGGGGCAAGCAGAAGAUACCAAUCGAGAAUUUAUCACACUCAUGGAGGUGCAGGUACGUUAUUGUAGGAGGUCUGUCAUAUCUUGUUGACUUAAAGUAUGGCAUGUUCGGUCUCAAGCCAACGUCUGCUCCAGCCAUGGUAUCCAAAACUUCCUUGAGACGUUCAAUCUUUUCUGCAGAUGGUACAACACCAGGACCACAAUUAGCAAAAGUUUCUUUGCAAGUUUCAUAAAGUCUUUGAACCGGGGAAAUCAUCCUCUGCCUUCUCCGAUUCUUCUUCGAAUCGCUAUACUCCCGUCCUCUUGGUUCACUCACAUUUUUCUCAAUCCUCAUCCUUAGGAUUAACAACUGCAAAUUGAAAUCACCUUUUUUUCUCUUUCAACUGGAAAAAACUACGAUCUGGUGCUUAAAUAUCUAGACUAUGUGCAUAUUUUAAGGGCAAAUGUUUGAUGAGGAUGAUGGAGUUGAG